rnacentral:tRNA from 1 species
GCCGGCGUAGCUCAGCUGGUAGAGCAGCUGAUUUGUAAUCAGCUGGUCGGGGGUUCGAAUCCUCUCGCCGGCU